GUUCAUUAAAAAACAGCAGGUGGACUUGUGUGGACUAUUGGGCAAUUUCACUUACUGUCCAAAGCUGAAGGCUUGUUGAUGUCUAUUAUGUGCAUGCAACAUUUAUAGCUCAACCCUUUCUGAGUUACUUUUCCACACAUUUUAAAGGUCAGAAACAGAUUCAUCUGUAUCACACUGCUUUAAAUGUAGUUGGACUUUGUUCAAACAUUCAAAAAAUCAUCUCUGAGCUGCAACUAAUCAUAGAAGACUUAAUUCCUCAAGGAAAUUGUUCUGGGAAAGUUAUAAGCAGACAUAACAGGAAUUUAUAAUGGAAGUUGGCCUGCAACCUCAGGCUCAUCUCAAAAAUAUUUACACAUCUGAGUAUCUCAUUAAAGACAUAUAUAAAGCCUCAGUGCUGCACCAAGCAUCAGGACAGAUUGUGGGCAGCUUUGUGAUGCUUUCCUGAAAUUUGUGAGAGUUACACAAAGGCACCUUCCCACAGGGAACUCACGUUCAUGUAGCAUGGUUUUCAAGCUGUUCUGAUUAUCAGUUUUAAAAAGCAACAUAGUCUAGCUCUCAGAAAAGGCAGAAUCUUAUUUAAUUACAUGUCAAUCUUUUCAUAGUGUCUGUAUGCAGGCAGUGUCCUGGAGCCAUGGAAGGAGCAAGAGUUGCAAGUCUAUAUUUCAGGUACCUGGAGAUCUGAGCUGAAUGUCUGCAUUCCAUACAUAAAAGGAAUUAAGCUGCAAAAGGCGUGAUUUUCUCAAAUCCACCCUGUGCCCACACCAAGUGAGAAGUAGGUAAGCUAGGUUAACAGGGAGAGGCAAAAUGGGAAAGUGAAAUUCAGGUAUAGGUACCAAAUGCUCCCACUGUGUGUGACCUUUAACCCUCACCCUUUUUACAAAAUGGAGCUAGAUAAACAGCUUUUUUAUUACCUCAGUGAUUAAACACCACACACCAAACA